rnacentral:tRNA from 1 species
GCGGAUGUAGUUCAAUGGUAGAACUGCGGCUUCCCAAGCCGCCAGCGUGGGUUCGAUUCCCAUCAUCCGCUCCA